UACGGGGGGGGCAAGCGUUGUUCGGAAUUACUGGGCGUAAAGAGCUCGUAGGCGGCUUGUCGCGUUGUUCGUGAAAAUUUACCGCUCAACGGUGAACUUGCGGGCGAUACGGGCAGGCUAGAGUACUGCAGGGGAGACUGGAAUUCCUGGUGUAGCGGUGAAAUGCGUAGAUAUAGGAAGGAAUACCAGUGGCGAAGGCGGCCUCCUGGAUCGAUACUGACGCUGAGGCGCGAAAGCGUGGGGAGCAAACAGG
rnacentral:rRNA from 1 species